UUGCUGUGACCCAUCCAUUCCUGCCUUGCCGAUGUGUGGUUGGUUGCCCCAGUCAGUCCAGUACAAAUACCUGGACAGACAGUAGCACUGAACAUCUUCAUUGAUGUAUGAAGUGUGUCACUGAUGUGUAAAUUGUGGAGCUGCUUGUAAGGAUCCUGUGCAGUGUUUUCAUGGUGCAUUAGCAAAACACCAUUCCUAGUGGUGACACUGCAACAUCGAGAGCAGGGAAGGUAACAGCUUUGAUACUCACUCACUGCUGCAUGUUCUUAUAAGUGACAGAAAACAAUGUGAAAAAGACUCUUCAUAUAAAAAAAUAAAAGUUCAUGAUGCCA